ACCAAUAAAGCCAAACUAUGCAAUGUACACUUUUAGAUCAACUUUUAUAGACUGUACAAAUUUUGACUGUUAUAUUUCAUAAUUUUUCAUGUUUUGGCAUUUUAGCUACCUAAAUUGGUUGUAAAGACAUGUAUUUUAAUACAUACUUUAGCAUCUGACAUUUUUUGUGUGGUAGUGAACAUAUUUUUAUUCAUUGUGCCAUUAAUUUUUUUUUAUCAAAAUUGAGGUAUGUUAAUCUUUUUGUAUUUUGUACAUUUUCAUCAUAAAGAAUUCAAAGAAAGACUCAAUUUGUGAACAUAUGAUAUAUAUAAUGGCAAUGGGAAAAAAACCAAGAUCAUCAAAUGUAUCACAAACUUAUUUAUUCAGUUUGACUCAACCUUUGUUAAGGAAGACAUUCCUAGCCCUUAGUUAUAACGGAUUUUAUUCUAUAGGAAUUUUAUGAAAUCAUUGAUGUAUAGCUUUAUACAGGAACAGAAAAUAAGAGUUUCUUUUUCAUGUACUUUAAAUCUUUCCAUGUAAUUUCAUAUUUCGCGAAGUUGUGAUUACUUUUAAAUUUCAGGAAGUUGUGAUUUUACCGAGUGCUUUGCAGCAAUGCAUUCCAUUUUUUGCAUAAAGGUUGGUGAGAGUAUUGGUAUACAAGAAGCAUAUCAUUUUAUGUACAUUCCCAUUCAUAUGGACCACUUUGUGUAAUGUGUGCAAGAAUACUUUUAUACAAGAUGCAUAUCAUUCAUAUCAGUGAUGUAGUAUAUUGAGUUUUCUAAAUCUAUUUUGUAUAUUCAUGUAUAUGGUACUCCUAUUUACAUUCUGAUGAUUUUUAUACAAUAUUUAAGAUAUUAAAUAAAUUUAAAGAUAA
rnacentral:misc_RNA from 1 species